rnacentral:rRNA from 1 species
UACGUAGGGGGCUAGCGUUGUCCGGAAUCAUUGGGCGUAAAGCGCGCGUAGGGCGGUCAGGUAAGUCCGGUGUGAAAAGUCAAAGGCUCAACCUUUGAAUGCCGCUGGAUACUGCUUGACUUGAGUCCGGAAGGGGCGAGUGGGAAUUCCUGGUGUAGCGGGUGAAAUGCGCAGAUAUCAGGAGGAACACCAUGGCGAAGGCAGCUCGCUGGAACGGUACUGAGCUGAGGCGCGAAAAGCG